UACGUAGGUGGCAAGCGUUUGUCCGGAUUUAUUGGGUUUAAAGGGUGCGUAGGCGGUCUAUUAAGUCAGCGGUGAAAUACUCCAGCUUAACUGGAGGGGUGCCAUUGAUACUGAUGGACUUGAGUCAAGUCGAGGUAGGCGGAAUUGACGGUGUAGCGGUGAAAUGCUUAGAUAUCGUCAAGAACACCAAUAGUGAAGACAGCUUACUGGGCUUAAACUGACGCUGAGGCAACGAAAGUGUGGGGAUCAAACAGG
rnacentral:rRNA from 1 species